AGUGAACGCUGGCGGUAGGCCUAACACAUGCAAGUCGAACGGCAGCACAGUAAGAGCUUGCUCUUACGGGUGGCGAGUGGCGGACGGGUGAGGAAUACAUCGGAAUCUACUUUUUCGUGGGGGAUAACGUAGGGAAACUUACGCUAAUACCGCAUACGACCUACGGGUGAAAGCAGGGGAUCUUCGGACCUUGCGCGAUUGAAUGAGCCGAUGUCGGAUUAGCUAGUUGGCGGGGUAAAGGCCCACCAAGGCGACGAUCCGUAGCUGGUCUGAGAGGAUGAUCAGCCACACUGGAACUGAGACACGGUCCAGACUCCUACGGGAGGCAGCAGUGGGGAAUAGUGGACAAUGGGCGCAAGCCUGAUCCAGCCAUACCGCGUGGGUGAAGAAGGCCUUCGGGUUGUAAAGCCCUUUUGUUGGGAAAGAAAAGCAGAAGGUUAAUACCCCGCUGUUCUGACGGUACCAAAAGAAUAAACACCGGCUAACUUAGUG
rnacentral:rRNA from 1 species